GAUGAACGCUGGCGGCGUGCCUAAUACAUGCAAGUCGAGCGAACAGACGAGGAGCUUGCUCCUCUGACGUUAGCGGCGGACGGGUGAGUAACACGUGGAUAACCUACCUAUAAGACUGGGAUAACUUCGGGAAACCGGAGCUACUACCGGAUAAUAUAUUGAACCGCAUGGUUCAAUAGUGAAAGACGGUUUUGCUGUCACUUAUAGAUGGAUCCGCGCCGCAUUAGCUAGUUGGUAAGGUAACGGCUUACCAAGGCAACGAUGCGUAGCCGACCUGAGAGGGUGAUCGGCCACACUGGAACUGAGACACGGUCCAGACUCCUACGGGAGGCAGCAGUAGGGAAUCUUCCGCAAUGGGCGAAAGCCUGACGGAGCAACGCCGCGUGAGUGAUGAAGGUCUUCGGAUCGUAAAGCUCUGUUAUUAGGGAAGAACAAAUGUGUAAGUAACUAUGCCCGUCUUGACGGUACCUAAUCAGAAAGCCACGGCUAACUACGUG
rnacentral:rRNA from 1 species